rnacentral:rRNA from 1 species
UACGGAGGGGGCUAGCGUUGUUCGGAAUUACUGGGCGUAAAGCGUACGUAGGCGGCUUUGUAAGUUAGAGGUGAAAGCCCGGGGCUCAACCCCGGAAUUGCCUUUAAGACUGCAUCGCUUGAAUCGCGGAGAGGUGAGUGGAAUUCCGAGUGUAGAGGUGAAAUUCGUAGAUAUUCGGAAGAACACCAGUGGCGAAGGCGGCUCAC